UACGUAGGGGGCAAGCGUUGGUCCGGAAUCACUGGGCUUAAAGGGCGCGUAGGCGGGUGCUCAAGUCUGUGGUGAAAUCCUCCGGCUCAACCGGAGAACUGCCAUGGAUACUGGGUGCCUCGAGGGUGGUAGGGGUAUGCGGAACUAUCGGUGGAGCGGUGAAAUGCGUUGAUAUCGAUAGGAACUCCGGUGGCGAAGGCGGCAUACUGGACCACUUCUGACGCUGAGGCGCGAAAGCCAGGGGAGCGAACGGG
rnacentral:rRNA from 1 species